UGGAGAGCGGCAGGCGGUCCUCAAGCUGGGACACUGGUGGGGUCGGCCCGCAGGCGCAGCCCCUCCAGCUCCAGCUGGUAAAACCUGGAGUGAGUGAAACUGUUUGCAGGCUCUAACCAUAUCACUCACUGGGCAUGCCCAGUGGGCAUUGCUGGCUUUGGUGACAAAGGAGUUAAGGCUAAGUGAACUUGCAGAAUUGGUAGUAGAGAAGUCUGAAGUGUGUGGCUUUAAAUUAUAGUUUGAGUCCUGCAAACAUUUAAAUUCCUAACCCUAUUAUAUUCCUAGCCUGGGUUAGUCUUAGAACAGAAACAACAGACAUAUUUAUUUCUACACCACAAACCUAAUAGCUUCAGCCUCAAAUGCUAUAAGAGUUUCAUCAAGAGGAAUCCAGGACACUAAACCGUCAACUUUGCAAUGUUGUAAUGCCAUUCUUCAAUGGCAAAUAUUAUAUGAACUAUCUUAAGGA